rnacentral:tRNA from 1 species
GGGUGUAGCCCAGUGGUACAGUGCAUGCCUAGCAUGCAUGAGGGCCUGAGUUCAAUCCCCAGUACUUCCA